rnacentral:lncRNA from 1 species
GAGUAGGAAAGAUGUGAAGGGAAUUUCAAUGAUCUUGAUCUUUGCUCUGCCACAUUCCAGGUCAGACCCUAUUUAUUGGCAAGGAAGGAACAGAGAGAGUUUUUUCCAGAGGGGAUUCUAAUAGCAGUUUAUCGGUUACCUCUGCACAUGUCAGUCUCUGCUAGCCAAGAGUGCCAUGCAUUAUCACUGAAAGAGGCUGUGUAUGAGGAUUUAUGUGACUAGAGGUUGUACAUAAGCAUCAGUAAUCAUGAAGGAAGCUGCUCACUGACUUGAGCAAGGACAGCAGAAUCAGACUUAUUCCCCUAGCUUCACUUUGCAGGUAAGCUGUGAAAAUGAACUUGGACACUAGAAGAGUACCAUUAAAAAUGCCCAUGAGGGUUUAAACUUGCAGCUGGUGUUGGGAAAAAAAAAGCUGGUUUUGAAUAACUUCUCAGCAAGUGAGGCCUGCUUCUUCUGUGCUUUGAAAAAGGGAAGGGACAAGCCAUAGAAAUUAAAACCAAUGGAACAUACAGGUAACAUGUGAGUAACCCAAGUAACGUACGAGAAGGCAAUAAGUUUACACAGGCUGCUUUCAUUCUGGCAUUUCUACCUUUGACAUUGUAUAAUACUUUUUGCUG